UACGUAGGGAGCGAGCGUUGUCCGGAUUCAUUGGGCGUAAAGAGCUCGUAGGCGGCUUGGUAAGUCGGAUGUGAAACCUCCAGCUCAACCUGGAGUCGCCAUCCGAUACUGCCAUGGCUAGAGUCCGGUAGGGGCCCACGGAAUUCCUGGUGUAGCGGUGAAAUGCGCAGGAUAAUCAGGAGGAACACCGGUGGCGAAGGCGGUGGGCUGGGCCGGCACUGACGCUGGAGGAGCGAAAGCGUGGGGAGCGAACAGG
rnacentral:rRNA from 1 species